AAUAUAUUUUAAUAUUGUCUGAUUAGAAAUUCCAUUUUCAGAUAUAUAACAAAUACAAAUGGCAUUAUUACUCUGUAAACAUCUUCUCUCAGACCAUUUGAAACCUCAAUGCAGAUUUUUAAAUACUUUUUCACAAAGAAAAUAGGGUAGAAAAAGAACAAAUACUUACAACACAUUUAAGAGAAGUCCUAAAAUUAAUUUCAAAAGGACAUGACUUUAGCAUAAAAAUACAUUUGGAGGAAGAGCAUUUUUUGUUUGUUUAGCAAUCCUCAGAUUUUUCCAGCAGGAAUGCUGGAUGGGCACACUGUGUACCAUCCCUCAAUUAUUUUCAAUUAGGUAACAGACAUGAAGUUACUUUGACUUUGUUAUAAACAGCCAGUGGUAGUUCUGAGAAAGGUGUAUGAAAUGCCAGAAGGAAAAUGAGGAGGAAGAUGUAAGAUGGAGCCUGAUCCUGCUAACCCCUGCUCCUCCAAACAAUGCUCUUUCUUUUCUACUUACUGUGCAGUCUAAGAACUUCAGGAUUAAGUCAGGUCUUAGAACCAUAAUUCCAUUUAUUUGUAGAGGCAAACAUGCCUUUCGCUUAACAUAAAUGUUUUUAUUUAAAAGGAGGUUGUCAAUUUGAAAGCGUUUUAAAUUCACGUUUAGGGGAGGCUUUGUGCAGUUUCACAGAGGCCGGGGGAUGGGCUGGAGCUCGGCAAUUCCAGCACCCGGAGCUGCCCUCCCUCCUCAGCCCUGGCAGAGCUGCGGGAGCAAACACGCCGUGUGUGGAUGCAACUGAAAGUUGCGUGUUCACCUGUCACUGAAACUCCUCCUGAGAGCCAGUGUCCCAGCAGAGGUACCAGGACACACAGCGGUGUGCACACCGAUGCUCAAAUUUGCUGUUUCCUUUUAUAGCUUUUUUUCCUCUUGAAUUACCUCCUGUAAAUAAAGAAGACAGAACAGAACUUGGUUUAAUGUUCACAUCUUUCAAACAGCAUUACACAAGUUACCAGCGAAAAAAAACCCAAAAAAAACAAACUGUUGUAGCAACCUGCAACCUCUUUCUCAUAUGUAUUACCAAACAGCUAAUUCUGGUUUGUUGCCUGCAAACCUCAGGUCUGAGUUUUGUUGCAUUUUUAAAGCUUAACCAGGCACAGUCAAAUCACCCUUUUCGAGGCAUUCUUAGUUAAAGAGCAUCAUAUGUAGCCCCUGCAAAGGGCUAAAAAUAUUCAGCUGUAGUUAUGUUUUUUGUUUAUACAUUUCAUCCAGCUCAGGAAUGGUGCAAAAUAAGUCAGCAGUUGUCAUCCCUUUUUUCAAAUAAUAUACUUUCUAAAAUGAGAGUUUUUAUAAUAGUUUGGAUUCAGCUAAUGUAUGAAUAUCAUUCAUUCAUACAUUAUUUUUCAAAGACUGGGCUGAGCCAUUAAAUAACCAAAAAUAAGCCAUUUUUACCCCAAACUCAGACUUUUUCUCUUAAAAGAGCAGUAGGGCAUAUUUUUUUUCUCAGUUCAAUAUGAAUCCACUCAUUACCCCAAUUUCAAUUGGCUAGGUAUGAAAAUCUCAGGAUUUACUCAGGUUUUUUCAAUGUCUCAAGUGUAAGAAGAGAGUCAUGUUACUCAUGUUUACCUCUGCCAAACAGCAGCUGGAAUAUAGACCCUCCAGGCAGAACACUGUGAAGGUAUUAAAGUACUAAAUGAUUCCCAGGAAAUUCGUAAAAUGUCCUUUUCUAAUGAUUCAAGGUAUUUCUGUGGAGGCAGAUUAUUUACUAUUUUUAGCUUUUCCCAGUGUCUAGCUUGUCUAAUUGCUCCUUGUGCAAGUGCUCUGGCCUGGGGCUAUUUUUCAGCUCUAAUUGCAAAAGAAAGGAUUACAUGGCUUUGCUUGUGCUGGAGAUGGGGCUCAAACCCUCCAAAACAAAAAAAAAACAAACCAAAAACCGCUUCACCCCCCGAUUUCAUAGCUACCCAGAACAUUCACUCAAUUUGCUGGUCUCAUCUAUAACUUCAAACCUGCUGACAACAGGACUACAGGUAGGUACCUGCUGUGUGCUGUCAGGGAGCAGGGCAGUCUGACCAGUGCUGGAGUUUUCCAAUUGAUGGUUCUCUCAUCUACUUACACAGUGCAGCAAUUACCAGAGGUGUUACCUUUGCAAUUUUCUUUGAAAAGUCAUGGAGAGAUUCCCAUAAAAUGCUCCUUGUUGCAAUUCUAGUUGAAAAUCCUGGAAAUGGCAUAGAAAAAUCAGGCUCUAUGCUGGGAAUGGACAGUGAGCAGCCAGUUUUGGUUAUAAAGCUACCAACUUACCUACCUACCUAAGCCUGGGGAAGGAAAACCAAAAUGUCAAGUUAUUUUGACUUUGUUCAAAAUGCCAAAAUGCCACACUGAGAUCUACCUAAACUGUACUACCUGAGCUUUCAAAAGAGAAAACAAAACUACUUUGUGCCCAGGUUUAGUUAACACUGCUUUGUGGAUGCUCUUCAAGGUGUUUUCAUCUCAGUCCACCAGGCUGGCAGAAGCCCCUCUCAUUUCAGAGCUUAAAACUCACAGCACAGCUCCUCCCAGAGAGGAGGGAGAUGGAUCUUCUCCAGCAGAGUGAAAAACCUCAAAUCUGUGGUUUUGCCUUGUGGUUGCAUAAAGAGUGCUUGCAUUUGGCCCAAGCCUGAAUUUGCCAUUAAAGUAGCCCUUGUCUAUAGAAAUGUUAGGAGACAGCUCAGGCACCAUCACAGCCUGGUACAUCCCUGGAAAAAGCAGUCACUGUCAUCUCCUGCGAGGGUACAGCACUCCUCCAGAGCAGCAGCUAUCUGAAAAUAAUUUCAUUUUCCUGUGAUAAUACAAACAUCAGCACAAAGGCCUGGUCUAUGAGAGCAGUUGUGCAACACUCAAUAAUUUCACAUCCUGGUCUGAAAUGUUCCACAGGCCAUUGGAAGGUCCAAGGCUGAGAUCCAAAAGCACCAACGUAUUCACAGCUAUGCAAAUAUUAGGAGCUACUGAUGUCUCAACAUGUGCAAUAUCUUACAUUAUAUUAUAGCAGACUUCACUUAAAUUCAUUGCCUACUAGCUAUAAAGAUUUGCCAGAACUUGUGAAAAAAAUUAGAACAGAUUAAGCCAAAUGAUUUUUCAGUUAUAACACAUUUGAGGAUUGUUUGAACAUUUUACAUCUUGGGAGAUAGAUGUUCCUAAAAGUUCCAGCGGGCUCUAAGUCACUAACACAUCUGAGACACUCUGUCCUUGUGCAUGCCCUGAGAGCCCUGCGUUUGCUCCCUGCCUUAUGCUUGCUCUGCAGCCCAUGUGAUGCUUUGUUUACCCACUGCACAAGCAGAUCAUGCACCAGCCAUUCCCAGCAGAGUGAUUGGGAGUCCACGGCUUUCUUAUGCUUGAGUCUGCAAACAGUGGGCACUGGUGUGUUCCCCUCCUUCCCACUCAGCUCCCUUCUGUGUUUUGGGCUCAAAGUCCCAGACUCAGGGACCUCGAGAGAGCAGGACUUGGGAAACUCCAGGAGAGACACUGAGGGCACGAGCGUAUUAUCAGAAAGAAUUUGAGUGCUCCCAGCAGCCCAGCAGCAAAUUAGAAAGUUUUGGCUCCCAAGAAUGAGUUGUGUUGUUUGUUCCUGCACACUGCAGCUGCUCGUCCCUCUCCCUCCCCACCCCCCUCCUUUGGGUGGUUUAUUACACACAAGCUACUAAUGAAUGGGAGCCGCUGUUUUACAGUACACCACACUUACAGGACUUAUCUCUAGGCCUACCACAGAUUUGACUGAUCAACAGCAGGGCACCACCAUCAUAAUUCUUCCUAGAAACAGGAGGAUAAAAAGGGGUUUGUUGGAGGUUGGCUGUGUCUGCAGAGAAUCCUGCCUGCAGGGCCUGCUGAUGCCAUCACUCGCUGCUAUGGUCUUUGGCCUAAUAAGGUACAGAAACAAAGAUUGUUCACUUGUUCAAGAAUACUAAAGUACCCAAGUGACGGAAAGUGGAGGCAGCAGGGCACACAUCCAAGUGGGAUUAAGGCCACAAGUGCAACGUUACAGGGCUGACUGGGUGGCAGAGGGAAUAUCUGCCUCUGAAGAAAAAAAAAAUGCAGUUCAAACAUAAUUUAUAACAUGUCACUCACAGUCAGAGGUGGCUGUCAUUAAGAGUUAAAUGCUGCAUUGUGUUCAACGUAUUCCGAUAAGAAUUCUCUAAGCUGCUUAUAUGUUAUCAUAACUCAUGAAUAAGUGGAGCGUGGGCAGGGGAGGGGGGAGAGGCUCUCUGGGGCAGGAUGGGACCCAGACUGGGAGGCAGAAAUGCUGGAGCAGAGCUGGGCUGCUGGGUCUCAGUGUGGGGUACACUCAGUCUGCACAUUCCAAGGACUCCACAGUGAGUCUUAGAGUCUGCCAAGCCCAUGGGACUUGUCAGGGUCCAGACUCUGCUUGGACACAUCCACCUUCUUUGCUUUUACAUACUUCUCCAGUUAGGGAGCCAGGCAGUAGCACCUGGAGGAGAGGAUCUAAAAUGGUGUGUUCAGGUUCACCUGGUCUACACAGUAAGGCUCUAUAUAAUGGAUGAAAAAAUGGGCAAUGCUGUAGCCAAGCACAAAGCCCCUAAGUUAAUACUGCUUAUUGGAAAUGGAACUGGGAGCCCAACAGAAGAGCAGCAAAGCAGCUUCUUUAGGGACAAUAUUAAAUUCCUCUGACUGACUUGGCAGUUUGGAAGCAGCAGGAUUGUUUUCUCUAGCUUAAGGAAACCCAGCAACAGACCCCACUGAAGUUCAAGCGGCUAGAUCCGGCCCAAUACUACUAAACUUUCCAGGCUUAUCAGGGAAAUUUUUCCCUACUUUUUCCCUACUUCAUUUUGGGUGUAGAGAGAAAAACCUGUGUGAAAUAAGAGUUAGAAUCAUAUGAGCCCACUCAUUUUCAGAGAAUUAAUUAUAGGAGCCUGCUCAUUUGCACAGCUCACUUAGUGCAAAUAGCCACUGUAAUUCCCAGUUAGAAGCAUUUCUCUGGUGCAGCUCAUUCAGAAAGCAGCAGUUUGUUUACUCACUGGCUUGGGCUACCUGGAUCACGUUACACCUGCUGGGGCUGUUGGUAAUGUGGGAGGUUGAUUUUAAACUGGUACUGUUGCUUUUAUAAAGCCUUUAAUGUUGUAGGCUCUGGCUAUGUUCAAGAUCUCACCCGUCAAGCCAAGGCUUAAGGGACUUUGGGCUGUGACAUCCCAGUCCUCUAUUCCCCUGUCACUCAAGUCAACAACCACAACUUUGCUGUGGUAGGUGUGGGACAAAUAUUUCAGUCCCUGACCUGUGCCUGGUCUGACUAAAGACCCAGGGUCUCUGAUCUGCCCACACCACAGAAACUCUGCAGCAAGUACCCGCUUUUCUGAGUACUCGUAUCUGACCUGCUGCCUCAGGGCUGUCUUCACCUGUGUUGGAAAGCCAGGGGUUGACCACAGUGAGCUCUUGGUAUCCAGAGGUGGCUGCAGGACACUGCAGGUGCAUGGUGUGUGUGCAGGCACAACAAUGCUGCAGUGCAUUCGUGUUUCUGCCUUUACAGCUCUGAGGAGCUGAUAACCACAGCCCUCUGUCCCUGCAGAGAGCAGACAGUUCCCUGCAGCCACCUCUCUCCAAGGGGAAGGAGAAGAUGACUCAGGAAUCCCAUCCACCCAUUCCUCCCCCCCCCAGCCAUGGCAGCAUCUGGAGCUGCCCACGCAGGGAGGUGAACCCACAGAAACAUUUUGGGGGGUGGGUGUCCCCAGGGGGAUGUGCUUGGCUGUCGUGCAGCUUUAAGAGCGCAAGUCCAAAUCCAUUUGUCUGGGUGCAAGUUACAGUAAACAAUCAGUAGAACUUGUCAGAAGAAAAGUUAAAAUAGAUGUAACUGAUGUGUGAAGGCGUGUUUUACCCAGCUCUGCUGGAUGUGUGAGUAGAGGCAGGUAGUAGAUUAACUAUGCAGCU
rnacentral:lncRNA from 1 species